rnacentral:rRNA from 1 species
AACGAACGCUGGCGGCGUGCCUAACACAUGCAAGUCGAACGUGAUCCGCCCUUCGGGGUGGUGAAAGUGGCGCACGGGUGAGUAACGCGUGGAUAAUCUGCCCGAGGAUUUGGGAUAACAUCUCGAAAGGGGUGCUAAUACCGAAUAAGCCCACGGGGUCUACGGAUCUUGCGGGAAAAGGGGGGGACCUUCGGGCCUCCUGUCCUUGGAUGAGUCUGCGUACCAUUAGCUAGUUGGUGGGGUAAUGGCCUACCAAGGCGACGAUGGUUAGCUGGUCUGAGAGGAUGAUCAGCCACACUGGAACUGAGACACGGUCCAGACUCCUACGGGAGGCAGCAGUGGGGAAUUUUGCGCAAUGGGGGAAACCCUGACGCAGCAACGCCGCGUGGGUGAUGAAGGCCUUCGGGUCGUAAAGCUCUGUCUGGAGGGAAGAAAUGAUUGGGAGCUAAUACCUCUUGAUCUUGACGGUACCUCUGAAGGAAGCACCGGCUAACUCCGUGCCAGCAGCCGCGGUAAUACGGAGGGUGCAAGCGUUGUUCGGAAUUAUUGGGCGUAAAGCGCGUGUAGGCGGUCUUUUAAGUCUGAUGUGAAAGCCCCGGGCUCAACCUGGGAAGUGCAUUGGAAACUGGGAGGCUUGAGUACGGGAGAGGAGAGUGGAAUUCCUAGUGUAGGAGUGAAACCCGUAGAUAUUAGGAGGAACACCGGUGGCGAAGGCGGCUCUCUGGACCGAUACUGACGCUGAGACGCGAAAGCGUGGGUAGCAAACAGGAUUAGAUACCCUGGUAGUCCACGCCGUAAACGAUGAGUACUAGGUGUUGCGGGUAUUGACCCCUGCAGUGCCGUAGCUAACGCAUUAAGUACUCCGCCUGGGAAGUACGGUCGCAAGACUAAAACUCAAAGGAAUUGACGGGGGCCCGCACAAGCGGUG